UGAGGAAUAUUGGUCAAUGGAGGAAACUCUGAACCAGCCAAGUCGCGUGAAGGAUGACGGUCCUAUGGAUUGUAAACUUCUUUAGUAGGCGAGUAAGGAUAGGUACGUGUACCUAUUAGAAAGUAACCUAAGAAUAAGUAUCGGCUAACUCCGUGCCAGCAGCCGCGGUAAUACGGAGGAUACGAGCGUUAUCCGGAUUUAUUGGGUUUAAAGGGUGCGUAGGUGGCUGAUUAAGUCAGUGGUGAAAAGCUAUGGCUCAACCAUAGUCUUGCCGUUGAUACUGGUUAGCUUGAGUGUAGAUGAUGUAGGCGGAACGUGUAGUGUAGCGGUGAAAUGCAUAGAUAUUACGCAGAACUCCGAUUGCGAAGGCGGCUUACAAAACUACUACUGACACUGAGGCACGAAAGCGUGGGUAUCAAACAGG
rnacentral:rRNA from 1 species